rnacentral:rRNA from 1 species
AUGUUAACACCCUAAGGUUUUGGACCAAAAUGGAUAAGAUGGAUCUUAUCCAUUUUACGACAGAGUUCUUUCUGUGUCAAAAUUUAUGAUGUGCUAGGAUCAUACUUUGUGGGAGGGAAAGGUCUGAAGCAGGGUGACCCAAUCUCCCCUAUGCUUUUUAACCUUGUUGCUGAUGUUUUUUCCAGAAUGCUUGCUAAAGCUGUUAGGCACAAAAUCAUUUCAGGGAUUAUUCCCCAUAUUAUUCCAAAAAGCCUCUUUAGUUUACCGAAAAAGGGUUUCCCCCGCUUUGUAUUCCAAAGCAACCAACACCGAUACAGGAUUGCUGGGGGGAACAGCACAACAAUCCAAAAUUAA